rnacentral:lncRNA from 1 species
GAGAUGUGAAGUCACCACUGCCUACGACAGAUGGCCAACUACUGUUUUUCUCCAUGUGGACCAUAAGCAGCUUUAGAAGUCUUGUUGUGGUCAAAGGAGAUGCACCUGAGCUGAUCAAGAGUGGCUUCAGAAGUCCUGCUGUGGUCAAAGAAGAUGCAGCUGAUUUUAUCCUGUACUGAUCCGGAGAGUUGCUGGAGCUGUUGGACCAUCUGAAAAGUUAUUUGCCUUUUAUUAAUAAAAACCUUUUUUCAAGAAA